AGAGAAGCUUUAAAACUUAGGCCAAACCAAAUGCUCAUUGUGUUAUGAAUAGAGAAUCCUAGAUAUAAUUGUUCCCAAGACUUUACUUAUUUUUUAAGUUAGACUUUAUCUCCAAAUUAUUGUAUUCAUAUACAAAGGAAUCAUUACUUAUAGAUUAAAACACAACGAUGCAUUUUUCUAUUCUUCUUAAUUUUUAUUUUUUUACUGUUAUAGACAUAAAAAAAAGUCAAUGGUAUACGAUGGUUUCCCUUGGACCGGGAGUCCGGGACUGUUGUGUGUCAAUCCCAAAGAGCACGCCCAAAUCAUGAUGUUCUUUCACAAAAUUAAAAUGAAAUGAAUUUAAUAAUCAGUGAUUUUUAUGCAAUAUUAAUCGUAUGUAUUGGUUAUUUAGGAAAAUAUAGUCUGUUGUUCUUUUCACACAAACAUAUUAUCAAAAAUAAAGUAUAAUUAAUAUUCACAACAAAAGAGAUGAACUUGUAUAAUUUAUUCAUGAAAAUAAAACUCGUAAUACAUAAUAUGUCUCUCCUAGCUAACUGCAAAUGCAAAUAUAUGUGAUGGUCGAAAAACUCAAAUUCGGUAUAUUAAAUCUUACAUAUAUAGUUUGAGGUUAGAAUCCAAACACAUGUAUAAAUUGCCCUGAAAAAUGGUCAAAAGUAUUACUUAUAUGAUAUGUGAUCUUCCAAAUUAUGUUUAAGAUAUUGUCUUUUCUAAUAGCUAAUGACUUCGAGGAAAAAAUGAUGUUACCUUUUAUAUAUUGUCUUGUCUGCCUCCCUUGAAUUAAACAUUAUAAUUAAAAAUUCCUUAUGACAAAGCAUGCUUUUCUUUUGUUUUGGACAAAGCAUGAUUUUGUUAUUUUCCUUUUUCGGCGGCUUGUAUCCCUCUCUCUAUAUGUAUUAUGUAUAUUCUCGAUCCAACGUGUCAUAAGCACAGAAAAAUUUACAACUACAUUGUUGGUUCUUUAAGCCAUGCAUCUUUUAUCUUUCACACUCAUUUACAUACAUAAUAUUAUCUGGGUUUCGCUCUCUCAAGCUUCUUGCAAGUUGUUUCUCAUCAACAACAAUUGAAAUGUGAGAUCCAUCUGACAACUCGAAGAAUCAAAACCAGCAUGAGCAUUUGCAUGCUCUUCUCCCAUAUCGACAACCCUUUCCGAAUCAUUGUCCAGCAGAUUCAUUCCCUGAUGCACUUGAUAAUCAGUGUUUCUUGCGUCCAUCUUGUUGUUAUUUUGAUGAGCAGAAGCAGAAGCUGCGGCUGCAACUUCCUCGCUUAGCUGUGAAGCAACGAACUUAUCAAGAACUCUCCAAUCCGUACUCACUUGGUCACCUUGAUCGUAACAAACAGAUCUAAAACUUUGACUCCCUUGUUGCAGGUGUUCCUCAUGAGUGAGAUUUGAUGAUUGCUGCAAGUCACCAAUAUUUCUUGUGUUAUUACCAUUGUUGCUUGAUCCAUAAGGUAGCGAGUUGCAAUUACUGUUAGGGCUCUCAAGCUGAGGAAGCUGGAGGAAAAUAGAUUCAUGAAGAUGAUGAUUUUGUUGUUCAUGUUGUACCAUGUGAUUGUAAUGUAGCUCCAGCUCUUGCUUGCACUGCAAGUUAGGGUUGUUGUUGAGUGUAUAAGCUGAAGACGCAUCGAGGCCAUAAGGCAAUGUCUGCUGGUGAUUGUGUUGGUUAUAAUGAUGAUGAUUGUGAAGAGUCCGACUUGGGGGAUUGGAAUCGAGCUCGGAGGCCAUGAAAGAGAGCUGGUCGUCGAACCAAUGAGAAGGCGAAGAAUCGUAAUCGCCCAUUUUCCUCAUUGUUGACGCCAAUCUCUUCUUGAAAACCCUACACACCGCCCAGCCUUCUUCCUGCACAUAAAUAUCACAUGUACAUCUCCUCAAAUAUAGUCACUUGUUCAUAUAUGAUUAGAUAUUUUUCCGGAAAGUUAACAAUGCCAUGUUAAUUGUAGUGAAAAAUGAAAUAUGAAUUUGGAUGUGGUGACAAAUUUAGUAAAAAUUUAAUAUGUAAGUUAUGUGUAUGAUUGUAAACUUUAGUACACUUUGGAUCAAAGAGGGAACAUUAAUGGUUCUCAUUUGUUAUAACAUAUAUAUGUAAGAUAUGUACUUUUAUGAAAGUU